CAGCCGCCACGGGAAUACGUAGGGUGCGAGCGUUAAUCGGAAUUACUGGGCGUAAAGCGUGCGCAGGCGGUUUUGUAAGACUGGCGUGAAAUCCCCGGGCUCAACCUGGGAAUGGCGCUUGUGACUGCAAAGCUAGAGUGCGGCAGAGGGGGAUGGAAUUCCGCGUGUAGCAGUGAAAUGCGUAGAUAUGCGGAGGAACACCGAUGGCGGAGGCAAUCCCCUGGGCCUGCACUGACGCUCAUGCACGAAAGCGUGGGGAGCAAACAGGAUUAGAUACCCGCGUAGUCCCUGUCUCUUAUAC
rnacentral:rRNA from 1 species